UCUAAGUACGUACCGAAGCAAGGUGAAACCGCGAAUGGCUCAUUAAAUCAGUUAUGGUUCCUUAGAUCGUACCCUGUUACUUGGAUAACUGUGGUAAUUCUAGAGCUAAUACAUGCAUCAGAGCUCCGACCCGACCCUCUCUCGAGAGAGAGAGGCGGAGGGAAAGAGCGCGUUUACGAGACCUAAACCACUCGGGCCCUUAAGCAAGGUCCGUCAAUUCCAGUGGUGAAUCUGUAUAACUUUUGGCCGAUCGCACGGGCUCGUCCCGGCGACGCAUCUUUCAAGUGUCUGCCUUAUCAACUGUCGAUGGUAAGUCACGCGCUUACCAUGGUCGUAACGGGUGACGGGGAAUCAGGGUUCGAUUCCGGAGAGGGAGCCUGAGAAACGGCUACCACAUCCAAGGAAGGCAGCAGGCGCGCAAAUUACCCACUCCCGGCACGGGGAGGUAGUGACGAAAAAUAACGAUACGGGACUCUUUUGAGACCCCGUAAUCGGAAUGAGCACAGCCCAAAUCCUUUAGCGAGGAUCCAUUGGAGGGCAAGUCUGGUGCCAGCAGCCGCGGUAAUUCCAGCUCCAAUAGCGUAUAUUAAAGUUGUUGCGGUUAAAAAGCUCGUAGUUGGAUCUCUGUUCCGGGCGGGCGGUCCGCCUAACGGCGGUCUACCUCCCGUUCCGGAAAUAUCUAUGCCGGUUUCCCCCGAUGAUCUUCACCGGUUGUCCCGGGCGACCGGCACGUUUACUUUGAAAA
rnacentral:rRNA from 1 species